ACAUAUGUAAUUAGAGGGUCAGAGUUUAUUCCUCCUGGGUACAGCGUUUACACCUAUGCUUGGGACUACAACAUGUUGAGACA